rnacentral:rRNA from 1 species
GAGUUUGAUCCUGGCUCAGGAUGAACGCUGGCGGCGUGCCUAACACAUGCAAGUCGAGCGAUUUACUUCGGUAAAGAGCGGCGGACGGGUGAGUAACGCGUGGGUAACCUGCCCUAUACACACGGAUAACGUACCGAAAGGUACGCUAAUACGAGAUAACAUAUUUUUAUCGCAUGGUAAGAAUAUCAAAGCUCCGGCGGUAUAGGAUGGACCCGCGUCUGAUUAGCUAGUUGGUAAGGUACGGCUUACCAAGGCGACGAUCAGUAGCCGACCUGAGAGGGUGAUCGGCCACAUUGGAACUGAGACACGGUCCAAACUCCUACGGGAGGCAGCAGUGGGGAAUAUUGCACAAUGGGCGAAAGCCUGAUGCAGCAACGCCGCGUGAGCGAUGAAGGCCUUCGGGUCGUAAAGCUCUGUCCUCAAGGAAGAUAAUGACGGUACUUGAGGAGGAA